UCGUAAAUGAGUACCUCUUCAUCAACCUAUCAAAUUUUAAACCCCACCCCGAAAUGAAGGAUUCUUUUCCUUCCAAUCACCAUCAUACUCUAAUAUCAGAUCUGCAAGUCAUGUUUCGCGGCGACCAAUUUCAGUCAAUUGGGCCAGUUUUCUGUUACUAAAACAAUCCUUUUAUUCUCAUAUGUUUUCUCUUUGGUUGGGUUUAGGCUAAUAUUGAUUCAAAGUCCUGACUGCAAGAGGCUAUAUGCGAAUCAUGUUUAUCAAGGCUUAAAGGCAUGGAUUGAUUUUGACUAAAAAUGAGUUGAUCCAAAUAUGCUGUUUGAACAGGAUCAAUAAAUUGCAGAAUGAGAAAAUCAGCUUCAUACAACAAGUGAUCAUUUGGUGGGCUGGUCUUAUGAGAGGUCCCGUUUUGAUGGCACUCGCUUUCAGCAAUUUGGAAAUCAUAUUCCUUUGAAGCAUAACAGCAGAACCAUCAAUCAUUAUUAGGGAAUUCAAGGUCCAAUUUAUGUCAGACCUGGAUGUGUUUUCACUUUUCAGAAGGUAUGCACUUAAUGGAUAUGAUGCACCUGUCAUGAAGUAAUGACCGAGCAAAACCUGUAACUGUUGGCCCAAUUGGUGCUGCUUGUGCUUGCCAUGUUUUGGUUCCAGAAAGGAAAAGAAUGCCAACACUAAAUUGGAAGAUAUACUGCUCUUCCCAAUUUAAACUAAAAUUGUUGAGCUGUCAACUGCAUUCAAGAAGCUAAAUGAGACUUGGAAGGAAUGGAGAGUCAAAAGAAUUCAUAUCAUGAUUAAUAGUUUCAGAUUUGAGACCCACUUUUAUGUUUUCCUUUGUAGCCUUUCCUUGACUGUACAAUAUUCUAUGUAUCAUGUUAUGGUUAAUUUUCAACGAAUUGAGACACUGUAAACUUUUAUGACAAAAUGUAACAGACACAAUAGUCUUCCAUUUGCUCUUUUUAAUAA